rnacentral:lncRNA from 10 species
UCCACCUUGUUCGCUUGUAACCGCUCUCACCAGGCAAAGUUCUGAGCAAGUGAGAUGGACUCAUCUCGGAACUCCAGGCUGUGUUUACAUAAUUGGUAAAAGAAACAUUCCAAUCCCAUUCCUUCGUCAGCUCCGACAGACCAACCAGCAUCCCCCUCCCACUUGCCACUUUGAUAGGGGUGACUGGUAUCUCCAUCUCCUUAUCUUUGUUGAUCAUGUUUCUGGGUUUCCAAUUGCGUCAAUUUAACUGGUUGCCAAUAAUUCUGUCAUCUGAGGGGAAAGCAGAAUCUCAACUGAACAUGCAGAUGUCCUAUUGAGACUUUGCCCAUAAGGGAGCGUCUUUGGUGCUUAAAAUUCCAUCUUUUGGACCUCAUAUCAGUUGAUGUUUUUAGUUGCAUCGGAAACCAACUCUAAGUGAUUUAAGCAGGAGAGAAAGUUAUUUAAGGAUAUUUAUAGUUCACAGAAUCUCUGGAGGAGCGGGGGGCUAGAAAACCAGACUUGAAGACUACACAGAGAGACUCCGAGUCCCCCUGGGACUGACCUGAGAUGACCAGGGAGCUGGUAUUUUUAGCUUCCAGAGGAGCCUCAAAAUUACAGUUAAGUCUACAGUCAGACAGAAGGAAACUGGCAUUUAUUAAACACCAACUUUGUGCCUGGAAGAUUCACUUACAAUAUCAUAAUCUUUACAAUAACUCUGCAAUAUGGAUCUCAUUAUCAGCAUUCUUUUUUUGUUUGUUUGGUUGGUUGGUUUUGGUGGUUUUAGUGUCAGGGUCUCACUCUGUUGCUCAGGCUGGAGCAUGGUGGCAUGAUCAUAACUCACUGC